rnacentral:rRNA from 1 species
CUACGGGCGGCUCCAGUGGGGAAUAUUGCACAAUGGGCGCAAGCCUGAUGCAGCAACGCCGCGUGAGUGAAGAAGGCUUUCGAGUCGUAAAACUCUUUUCUUGAGGAAGAAACUUGACGGUACUCAAGGAAUAAGCCCCGGCUAAUUACGUGCCAGCAGCCGCGGUAAUACGUAAGGGGCAAGCGUUAUCCGGAAUCACUGGGCGUAAAGGGUGCGUAGGUGGUCUUGUAAGUCAGAAGUGAAAGGCUACGGCUUAACCGUAGUAAGCUUUUGAAACUGCAGGACUUGAGUGCAGGAGAGGAAAGUGGAAUUCCUAGUGUAGCGGUGAAAUGCGUAGAUAUUAGGAGGAACACCAGUGGCGAAGGCGACUUUCUGGACUGUAACUGACACUGAGGCACGAAAGCGUGGGGAGCGAACAGGAUUAGAUACCCUGGUAGUC